rnacentral:rRNA from 1 species
AGCGCACCCCUAUCCUUAUUUGCCAGCGCAUAAUGGCGGGAACUAUAAGGAGACUGCCGGUCAUAAACCGGAGGAAGGCGGGGACGAUGUCAAGUCAUCAUGGCCCUUAUGGGUAGGGCUACACACGUGAUACAAUGGGUGGUACAGAGGGUCGCCAAAGCGCGAGCUGGAGCCAAACCCUUAAAACCAUUCUUAGUCCGGAUUGGAGUCUGCAACUCGACUCCAUGAAGUCGGAAUCGCUAGUAAUCGCGAAUCAGAAUGUCGCGGUGAAUACGUUCUCGGGCCUUGUACACACCGCCCGUCACGUCAUGGAAGUGGGUUGCACCAGAAGUGGCUUGUUUAACCUUCGGGAAAACGGUCACCACGGUGUGAUUCACAACUGGGACGAAGUCGUAACAAGGUAGCCCUAGGGGAACCUGGGGCUGGAUCA